GUGGAGCCUGCGGCUUAAUUUGACUCAACACGGGAAACCUCACCAGGCCCGGACACCAGAAGGAUUGACAGAUUAAGAGCUCUUUCUCGAUUUGGUGGGUGGUGGUGCAUGGCCGUUCUUAGUUGGUGGAGUGAUUUGUCUGGUUAAUUCCGGUAACGAACGAGACUCUGGCCUACUAAAUAGUCGACGGGCGUUUUGGUGCAUGGGCCCCGUUCGACACAGUCUUCUUAGAGGGAUGAGCAGCGAGUAUAGCUGCAGGAGAUUGAGCAAUAACAGGUCUGUGAUGCCCUUAGAUGUCCUGGGCCGCACGCGCGCUACACUGAAUGGGUUAGCGGGUGGUCCUUCUCCGAGAGGAGCGGGAAAUCGCUUGAAAACCAUUCGUGAUAGGGACUGGGGCUUGCAAUUUCUUCCCACGAACGAGGAAUUCCCAGUAAGCGCAAGUCAUCAGCUUGCGUUGAUUAAGUCCCUGCCCUUUGUACACACCGCCCGUCGCUACUACCGAUUGAAUGAUUUAGUGAGGCCUUCGGACUGGCGGUCUUGGACUGGGACGGCGGCGUUCUCCCAGCAAUGGGGUGCCGUCGGCCCGCCUGGACGAGCCGGAAAGAUGUCCAAACUUGAUCAUUUAGAGGAAGUAAAAGUCGUAACAAGGUUUCC
rnacentral:rRNA from 1 species